rnacentral:ncRNA from 1 species
CAAGGGUUUGGUCCUAGCCCUUCCAUUAGUUAUUAAUAGAAUUACACAUGCAAGCCUCCGCGCCCCGGUGAAAAUGCCCUCUAAAUCAUAAUCGACCUAAAGGAGCAGGUAUCAAGCACACAAAAUGUAGCUCACAACGCCUUGCUUAGCCACACCCCCACGGGUUACAGCAGUGACAAGAAUUAAGCCAUGAAUGAAAGUUCGACUAAGCCAUAUUAAACUAGGGUUGGUAAAUUUCGUGCCAGCCACCGCGGCCAUACGAUUAACCCGGACUAAUAGAUACACGGCGUAAAGCGUGUUCCAGAGACAUCCUUACACUAAAGUUAAACCUUGACUAAGCUGUAAAAAGCCACAGUUAACAUGAAAAUACAACACGAAAGUAACUUUAAUAUCUCAAUCGCACGACAGCUAAGACCCAAACUGGGAUUAGAUACCCCACUAUGCUUAGCCCUAAACCUAGAUAGUUAACCUAACAAAUCUAUCCGCCAGAGAACUACUAGCAACAGCUUAAAACUCAAAGGACUUGGCGGUGCUUCACAUCCCUCUAGAGGAGCCUGUUCUGUAAUCGAUAAACCCCGAUAAACCUCACCACCUCUUGCUAAUACAGUUUAUAUACCGCCAUCUUCAGCAAACCCUUAAAAGGAAUGACAGUAAGCAAAAGUAUCUUAACAUAAAAAAGUUAGGUCAAGGUGUAACCCAUGAGGUGGAAAGCAAUGGGCUACAUUUUCUACACAAGAACACUCCACGAAAGUUUUUAUGAAACCAAAAACUAAAGGAGGAUUUAGCAGUAAGCCGAGAAUAGAGCGCUCAGCUGAAUCGGGCCAUGAAGCACGCACACACCGCCCGUCACCCUCCUCAAGUACACAAACUCAACCACAAUAUAUUAAAACAACACUCAAUACAAGAGGAGAUAAGUCGUAACAAGGUAAGCAUACUGGAAAGUGUGCUUGGAUCAGA